CAAUAUUUAAACUUAUGUUUGAUAAGGCUCCCCACACACGAAGCGAUUUUAGAAGGGCGAUUUGAGAAGCGCGACUCCAAAGUCAAUGCAAGUCUAUUGGAGCCUUCAGACGUGGUCGCGACUCGCUGGGUUGGAAGCGUGAAGAGCGAUUCCCGAGCGACUUGAGUUACAUAUUUUACUAUGAAGCCCCACAUACGAGGCGACAGCUUCCCGCGAUUUCAUCACUACUUGCAUCUCAUUGGCUGGUCGGGGUGAGAUUAGAGCCAAUGAGCGAUCAGGCAGAGUUUUCCUCCACGUGGAGUCCGAGCGCGGGGCAGCUGGGAGGGGGAGUGCGGGAUAACUGGUGACAUCCGGCUUGCAGGAGUGCAUCACAACCACGCAUAGCAAGAUGAGUGACCAGGGAUCUGCUGACCGCUUUGAUACCGAAUUAUUAAUAGAUGAAAUAUAAAUAGCUUCCCGCGUCAUUGGUGGGUGUUAUGGCCAAUGAGAGAGCAGUCCACGUGGGUACAGUAGCGGGGAUUUGGGGGUAUGCUGUCGUUGCUACACCAGUCGCUGUGUGUGUGGGGUCAACCCAGAAUCGCGCUUCUCAAGUCGUGCUUCUAAAAUCGCUUCGUGUGUGGGGGCCUAAGAGUGCAUUAAUCAACAGUUAAUGGGCAACUUCGCCAAUCUAGGGUAAAAUUGACAAAAAUCUAGGGUAAUAUUUCAUCAACUCAUGGAAGCACUGGGGGCGGAUGUUUUGAAAACAUUCGCAUGUCUAUAAAACCCAAGAGUUAUUGAAAUGCCAAUAGGGUUGAGGAAACUUGGAGAAGAAAGCAGCGAUAAGUAAUUCUCAGGAUUUUGUGAGGAAAAAGGUAAUGUUAGAAGGCUGGUGAACAUGGAAAGGGAGAUGAGGUAUAUGAAGAAAGUAUACACUCAAGUAUCAUGGAAAAACAAGAUAAAUUAUUAAUGAUAAACACUGAACUAAAAGAGAAAAGAGAAUUAUGUGAGAAAGCAGGAGAAGUAAAUCAGGUGAUGAAAGAGGAGAUAGAAAAGUUAAAGGAACAAAAUGGUAUAUUAAUGGCUACAUGUUACAAAUAUGAAGAGACUUUAAAAUGCCUACAGUAGAAGGUACAGGAUGAGGCAGGCAAAUUGGAAUGGGUGAGAUAAAAUUGGAGGAAUUAAGAAAUGCCUGGAGAAGAGAAUAGGAAGAGGAAAAAGUUAACUUCUCACGAGGUAGUCAAGAAGUAGGUAGAAGAAAAGAGAAAGGACACAGUAAUACAAGUAAUUAAGAACAAGGAAGAUUUGGUGAAGGACACAGUGGACAAGUAAUUAAGGAGAAGGAAGAUUUGGUGACAGUAGACAAGAGGAAAUGUUUCCUUAUUUUUGGGCUGAAAAAAAAUAAAUAAAUAAAUGUGAGAGAGAGAGAGAGAGAGAGAGAGAGAUUUUGCAAAGGGUGUUAUUAAGUUAGGCCAAGACAGCACAAGGUGGUUGGAACAAGAAGUGGAGGAAGUGAUCAGAUUGUAAAGGUUUAGUGAAUGGGGAAAGAUACCACUGAAAGUGAGAAUGAGAUCUCAAGUAGUGGUGGAGAUAAUGGCAAGAAAAGGAAAAUUGGCUUAAGAUACUGAAUUUAAUGACAUGGAUAAAAAAGAGAUAUGAACCUAGAAGAAAGAGAAAAGGAUAGUGUUAAGAAAUGAAGCUAAGGAAAAAACAAGAAAAGGACAGAGAUCGAGAAGAGUAAAUUCUACUGGAGGGUUCUAGAUAUGAGACUGAAGAAGUGAUAUUUUCAGGAAAAAGAGGAGGUAAUGGAAGAGGCAAGAAAUUAAGAGUGACAUAUACAAAUAUAGAUGGGUUUUUGUUCAGUAUGUUGGAGACUACAGACUAUUUGAAGGAGAAAAGACCAAAUAUAAUGUGCAUAGUUGAAACAAAACUAAGAGAGGACCUCCAUGUUAGCUUUAAGGAAGAGGGUUAUAAAACUUACAGAAGCGACAAAGGGAAAAGGAGGAGGAGCAGUGCUAAUAAUGGUUCACUAUAAUAUAUGUGUGGAGGAAAUGCAUUAUGGAGAUGACAUGGUGGAAGUAAUGGGAGUAACAAUCAAGACAGAAGAAAUAAAAAAAAUGGAGAAUCAUAGUCAUGUAUGUGCCACCUAAAACAAAUAUAUGGAGAACAAAAGAACAUAAGGAAAUGCAAGGAUAAUAUGAUGGAAAUGCAAGGAUAAUAUGAUAAGGAGAGAUGGAAAAAUAUUGUUAUUAGGAGACUUCAACUGCAAAAGAGUCAACUUGAGAGAGAUGGAAGUACGUAAUGGGUAAUGCUCAAUCAUGGAGCAAGAUGUUACAGUUAACUAUGGUGCAUACAAUGGAUCAGUGAGUGGAAAUUUCAACAUGGUAAAGAGCAGAGAAUGAGUAAAAAGAAAAAAGAGCACAAGUGGAAGAGCAGAAUUUGAUUUUAAGUGUCCGUUCCCCACUCCUGUGCUCACGCUCCUGUGCUCGCGAUUUAGAAGUCCACUUAGAGCAGAAGAGUGGAAAUAAGAGGGCUCCUGCCCACCUCUGAUAUAUACACUCAGCACCUCACAUGAUAGAUUUAAGGAGCAUCACAGAUGUAGUGAACUCCAUGAAACUUUUGGUAAAUGUUUAUAAAUCUUUCUUACUAUAUGAUAGUUUCUUUUCUCCAGUCUACAAAACGGAUGGGUAGAUAAUCUCUAGUAUUCCCAGUUGACUUGGUUGGGCUAGUGCAUCAUGGUAAAUUUCUGGAAAGCCAAGAGGGCCCCAUUGUUAAUAGCCCAACAUAGGCAUGUCUUCAAACAGAUGGACACUCAAGCUAGUAUGCAGUAACAGUGAUAAUAUUCUUCAUUUCUUGUAUAGAGAUUCUGAAGUAAAAAGCUUAUUGUACUCAAUAAUCAUGAUGAAAUAGUGUCUAAAAAUUAUUAAGAGUUUAAUAAGAGCAAAUUUAUUGUCAUGGAAUCUGAAAUUAUUCCAUGUAAUAAAUACCUCUGUACAGUCUUGCAAUUAUUUGCUUGGAUAAGACUUCCAUACAACAUUUUUUAUUAUUGAUUGUUUACUAGUUAUUAAUUUGAUUUUGGCCUGCAGGUAUUGAGGAAGGACCAACACUUGCAGCUGGAUUUACCUUGUCGACUCCACAUCUUUGUCAACGGCUAGAUUGCCUUCUACAUAGUGUAACAUGUGAAAUGCCUGACCAGGAAACUUCACAAGAAUGUUUCCGGAAGCACUGCAGCAUCAUGAAAACAUCACUGGUUCAUAUGUCAUCGUGUAGUGAGUUUACAUCAUGUUCAAAUGUAAUAUGUCUGCUCUUUAGUCCGCUGUUAUCACACUGGAAAGGUUGUUGUGGUCCCUGUUCCAUCUGUGGACCAAUUAAUGUGAAGUACAAUAAGAAAAAAAUUUUGAGCAAGAUUCAUCCAAAUAUUGUAACAAGUGAUGGAAAACUGAUAAAUGUUGCAUUUGAAGAGUAUGAAAAAAUAGAUGAUUGGAGGAUACGAGCCAUUCCAUAUCAUCUCAGGGAGUAUAUGAUGGCAGAUAAGUCAUCACAUUCUGCAGUAGUUCAGCAAUAUUUAAGUAAGAAAGCUGAAGGAAUAGGGUGUUUUUCUUCUGGGCUUACCUGGAACCAGUUGCCUGGCAUAGACUUUGAUUUGAAUAAGUUAGUAAGAAAAUAGUGAAAACCAUAUUUUAUCAAUAAUCCCACACCUAUUAUGUCUUAUUCAUUGAAAACUUCAUGAGUACCAUAUUCUGGUGACAGUCAUCAAAAUCAAGUUAUGGAAGAUUUAGUUAAUGAGAAAUUUAUAUGUCUUGGUAUUAUGAUGAAAUUCAACUGAAUAUAAUGUUUUAGAAAGCAUAAUAUAAAUAUAGUGAUGACAAUGCUAGUAUUGCAUAGAGACAAGUUUGUGUGAAAGGGAAGCCAUAUAUGUGGCAAGUUUUUAUAACCGUUACAAUUUGAAUUAUGACAUAACCUAUCAGGUGUUAUGAAUUAUGACAGUUAUGAAUUAUGACAGAACCUAUCAGGUGUUACAGCUUUAAUUUUCAUGCAAGAAAACUGUGUGCAACUAUGUGAACAAUGUAUAUGUCACGAUAAUAAAUAUUUUUUAGAGCAUAUACCCUAUAUAUCUUUAUAUUUUAAAAGAUUUGAAGCCCUUCACAAAUUUUGUAAUCAUUAAAGCACUUACGUGGCUUAAAACUUCAAAUUUGUAAUCAUUCCAUAAAAGGUUGAUUUGACAAUUGUCUCAUAAAGUAUCUUUGAAAAGCAAAGUUGUUUCAUGAUGAAAUUCAUCAUUGUGUUUGAAAACUGAUAGAUAUCUGGAAACUCAUGAAAUUUGUAUUACAUAAUUUGGAAAUUCAUGGUAUGCUGGUUACUUUACUUGAACAACUGUCGGGAAAGUUUUAAAUGUCAUAUUGUCAUAUCUUUUAUACUUUGUUAAAAGCAUUAUCACUUACAUCUUUUAUAGUUACUUGUAAAUACCUUGAUUUUUCACUGUAACAAAUUUUUGUAUUGUGAAAAAUUAAAGAAAAAGAUAUUUUAAUGAUUUAUUUUAAUACCCACAUAAAUUGGAUUGCAUUCUUCAUCAGUUGUUACAUAUAUAAUUAUUUCUUACAUAAUUAGCUGACUAUAUCUUAAUAUUUGCUAGCAACAAGGCUCCACAUGGGCAUACAAACUACACACACCUACAGGAGCACAGUUUAUAUACAAAAAAAUUAAAUGUUCAAAUAUAGUUUGUGAAAAAAUUUUGAGCCUUACUAAUGAAAACCAUAUAUGACUAAACUUUUUCUAUCAUCUCAGGAACUGCUUUGAAGAGAUCUGCCAC